rnacentral:rRNA from 1 species
AAUAGAUACCCCGGUAGUCCACGCCGUAAACGAUGAGUGCUAAGUGUUAGAGGGGUUUCCGCCCUUUAGUGCUGCAGCUAACGCAUUAAGCACUCCGCCUGGGGAGUACGGCCGCAAGGCUGAAACUCAAAGGAAUUGACGGGGGCCCGCACAAGCGGUGGAGCAUGUGGUUUAAUUCGAAGCAACGCGAAGAACCUUACCAGGUCUUGACAUCCUCUGCCAACCCUAGAGAUAGGGCGUUCCCCUUCGGGGGACAGAGUGACAGGUGGUGCAUGGUUGUCGUCAGCUCGUGUCGUGAGAUGUUGGGUUAAGUCCCGCAACGAGCGCAACCCUUGAUCUUAGUUGCCAGCAUUCAGUUGGGCACUCUAAGGUGACUGCCGGUGACAAACCGGAGGAAGGUGGGGAUGACGUCAAAUCAUCAUGCCCCUUAUGACCUGGGCUACACACGUGCUACAAUGGAUGGUACAAAGAGCUGCGAACCCGCGAGGGUAAGCCAAUCUCAUAAAGCCAUUCUCAGUUCGGAUUGUAGG